rnacentral:rRNA from 1 species
AGCGAACGCUGGCGGCAGGCCUAACACAUGCAAGUCGAACGAAGUCUUCGGACUUAGUGGCGGACGGGUGAGUAACACGUGGGAACGUGCCUUUAGGUUCGGAAUAACUCAGGGAAACUUGUGCUAAUACCGAAUGUGCCCUUCGGGGGAAAGAUUUAUCGCCUUUAGAGCGGCCCGCGUCUGAUUAGCUAGUUGGUGAGGUAAAGGCUCACCAAGGCUACGAUCAGUAGCUGGUCUGAGAGGAUGACCAGCCACAUUGGGACUGAGACACGGCCCAAACUCCUACGGGAGGCAGCAGUGGGGAAUCUUGCGCAAUGGGCGAAAGCCUGACGCAGCCAUGCCGCGUGGAUGAUGAAGGUCUUAGGAUUGUAAAAUCCUUUCACCGGUGAAGAUAAUGACUGUAGCCGGAGAAGAAGCCCCGGCUAACUUCGUGCCAGCCGCCGCAGUAAUAC